CACAGCUACUUCUUCCACAUCUGCUCCACCCCUCACCAGGAGGUGAAAGCGGAGGCGCUGACAAGAUUGCUUUGUCAGGAAUCAUCACUUUGUUCUUAUGUUUAGCAUCUAUAAUUGUGUACUAUGGUAACGUAUUUCCUACAUGAGCUAAAGUGGAAUUUCAUCUUAGACCAAAUAAUAAAGAGACCAUUUAGAUCUAGA